rnacentral:rRNA from 1 species
CCUACGGGGGGCAGCAGUGGGGAAUAUUGCACAAUGGGCGCAAGCCUGAUGCAGCCAUGCCGCGUGUGUGAAGAAGGCCUUCGGGUUGUAAAGCACUUUCAGCGGGGAGGAAGGCGGUGAGGUUAAUAACCUCAUCGAUUGACGUUACCCGCAGAAGAAGCACCGGCUAACUCCGUGCCAGCAGCCGCGGUAAUACGGAGGGUGCACGCGUUAAUCGGAAUUACUGGGCGUAAAGCGCACGCAGGCGGUCUGUCAAGUCGGAUGUGAAAUCCCCGGGCUCAACCUGGGAACUGCAUUCGAAACUGGCAGGCUAGAGUCUUGUAGAGGGGGGUAGAAGUCCAGGUGUAGCGGUGAAAUGCGUAGAGAUCUGGAGGAAUACCGGUGGCGAAGGCGGCCCCCUGGACAAAGACUGACGCUCAGGUGCGAAAGCGUGGGGAGCAAACAGGAUUAGAUACCCGAGUAGUC